GAUCAUGGCUCAGGAUGAACGCUAGCUACAGGCUUAACACAUGCAAGUCGAGGGGAAACGACAUCGAAAGCUUGCUUCCGAUGGGCGUCGACCGGCGCACGGGUGAGUAACGCGUAUCCAACCUGCCCACCACUUGGGGAUAACCUUGCGAAAGUAAGACUAAUACCCAAUGAUAUCCCACGAAGGCAUCCGAAUGGGAUUAAAGAUUUAUCGGUGAUGGAUGGGGAUGCGUCUGAUUAG
rnacentral:rRNA from 1 species